rnacentral:rRNA from 1 species
UAGGGAAUCUUCGGCAAUGGGGGGAACCCUGACCGAGCAACGCCGCGUGAGUGAAGAAGGUUUUCGGAUCGUAAAGCUCUGUUGUUAAGGAAGAACGAGUGUGAGAAUGGAAAGUUCAUGCUGUGACGGUACUUAACCAGAAAGGGACGGCUAACUACGUGCCAGCAGCCGCGGUAAUACGUAGGGGGCUAGCGUUAUCCGGAUUUACUGGGCGUAAAGGGUGCGUAGGUGGUCUUUCAAGUCGGUGGUUAAAGGCUACGGCUCAACCGUAGUUAGCCUCCGAAACUGGAAGACUUGAGUGCAGGAGAGGAAAGUGGAAUUCCCAGUGUAGCGGUGAAAUGCGUAGAUAUUGGGAGGAACACCAGUGGCGAAGGCGGCUUUCUGGACUGCAACUGACACUGAGGCACGAAAGCGUGGGUAGCAAACAGG